rnacentral:rRNA from 1 species
GAUGAACGCUGGCGGCGUGCCUAAUACAUGCAAGUCGAGCGAACAGACGAGGAGCUUGCUCCUCUGACGUUAGCGGCGGACGGGUGAGUAACACGUGGAUAACCUACCUAUAAGACUGGGAUAACUUCGGGAAACCGGAGCUAAUACCGGAUAAUAUAUUAAACCGCAUGGUUCAAUAGUGAAAGACGGUUUUGCUGUCACUUAUAGAUGGAUACGAGACGCAUUAGCUAGUUGGUAAGGUAACGGCUUACCAAGGCAACGAUGCGUAGCCGACCUGAGAGCGUGACCAGCCACACUAGAACUGAGACCCGGUCCAGACUCCUACGGGAGGCAACAGUAGGGAAUCUUACGAGAUGGGAGAAGGGCUGACGGAGCAACGCCGCGUGACUGAUGCAGAUCUUCUAAUCGUAAAACUCUGUUAUUAGGGAAGAACAAAUGUGUAAGUAAGUAUGCACGAAUAGACGGUCCCUACUCAGAAGGCCAAGGCAAACUACGUG